GUGAGUUGCAUAAUGCCAAGUUGGCUGUGGGGCACUUUGCUCCAUGGGUGCCCUCUCAAGUCAUCUGAAGCUGAGGUGGUAUAGGCUUGGAAUGUUCUGUGGUGCUUUGCCUCUCUGUCACCAUGGCUAGAAACAGCUGGAGCUAAAAAUAUUCCAGACUUUGUCAUGGAAAAUGGAUGGAACAGUACUCCAGUACAAGCCUAGAAACUAGGGAAUAUAUAACCUACGUGAAAGAGAACAAUGUUUUUUUUCAUCACAGAACCAAAACCUUGGAGAAAGCUAACAUGGUGCUUUGCAUUCGUUUGCUUCACUGUCACUAAAAAUAACAGAAGUGA